CCUACGGGAGGCAGCAGUGAGGAAUAUUGGUCAAUGGGCGCGGGUCUGAACCAGCCAAGUAGCGUGAAGGAUGACUGCCCUACGGGUUGUAAACUUCUUUUGUACGAGGGUAAACGCAGAUACGCGUAUCUGUCUGAAAGUAUCGUACGAAUAAGGAUCGGUUAACUCCGUGCCAGCAGCCGCGGUAAUACGGAGGAUUCAAGCGUUAUCCGGAUUUAUUGGGUUUAAAGGGUGCGUAGGCGGUCGGAUAAGUUAGAGGUGAAAUCCCGAGGCUCAACUUCGGAAUUGCCUCUGAUACUGUUCGGCUAGAGAGUAGUUGCGGUAGGCGGAAUGUAUGGUGUAGCGGUGAAAUGCUUAGAGAUCAUACAGAACACCGAUUGCGAAGGCAGCUUACCAAGCUACUUCUGACGUUGAGGCACGAAAGCGUGGGGAGCAAACAGGAUUAGAUACCCUAGUAGUC
rnacentral:rRNA from 1 species